CAGCCGCCGCGGUAAUACGUAGGGUGCGAGCGUUAAUCGGAAUUACUGGGCGUAAAGCGUGCGCAGGCGGUUGUGUAAGACAGGUGUGAACUCCCCGGGCUUAACCUGGGAACUGCGCUUGUGACUGCACAGCUAGAGUAUGGCAGAGGGGGGUGGAAUUCCACGUGUAGCAGUGAAAUGCGUAGAGAUGUGGAGGAGCACCGAUGGCGAAGGCAGCCCCCUGGGCCAAUACUGACGCUCAUGCACGAAAGCGUGGGGAGCAAACAGGAUUAGAUACCCCCGUAGUCCCUGUCUCUUAUCC
rnacentral:rRNA from 1 species